rnacentral:rRNA from 1 species
AGUGAACGCUGGCGGUAGGCCUAACACAUGCAAGUCGAACGGCAGCACAGUAAGAGCUUGCUCUUACGGGUGGCGAGUGGCGGACGGGUGAGGAAUACAUCGGAAUCUACUUUUUCGUGGGGGAUAACGUAGGGAAACUUACGCUAAUACCGCAUACGACCUACGGGUGAAAGCAGGGGAUCUUCGGACCUUGCGCGAUUGAAUGAGCCGAUGUCGGAUUAGCUAGUUGGCGGGGUAAAGGCCCACCAAGGCGACGAUCUGUAGCUGGUCUGAGAGGAUGAUCAGCCACACUGGAACUGAGACACGGUCCAGACGCCUACGGGAGGCAGCAGUGGGGAAUAUUGGACAAUGGGCGCAAGCCUGAUCCAGCCAUACCGCGUGGGUGAAGAAGGCCUUCGGGUUGUAAAGCCCUUUUGUUGGGAAAGAAAAGCAGCAGGUUAAUACCCCGCUGUUCUGACGGUACCCAAAGAAUAAGCACCGGCUAACUUCGUG